AUUGAACGCUGGCGGCGUGCUUAACACAUGCAAGUCGAACGAGAACGGAAUAUAGCUUGCUAUAUUUGUCAGCUAAGUGGCGCACGGGUGAGUAAUGUAUAGAUAACCUGCCCUUAAGAAAGGAAUAACAGUUGGAAACGACUGCUAAUGCCCUAUAUGCCUUUAAUACAUAAGUAUGCAAGGGAAACGCUUUAGUGCUUAAGGAUGGGUCUGUAUGGUAUCAGCUUGUUGGUGAGGUAAUGGCUCACCAAGGCUAUGACGCCUAACUGGUUUGAGAGGAUGAUCAGUCGCACUGGAACUGAGACACGGUCCAGACUCCUACGGGAGGCAGCAGUGGGGAAUAUUGCACAAUGGACGAAAGUCUGAUGCAGCAACGCCGCGUGGAGGAUGACACAUUUCGGUGCGUAAACUCCUUUUAUAUAGGAAGAUAAUGACGGUACUAUAUGAAUAAGCACCGGCUAACUCCGUGCCAGCCGCCGCAGUAA
rnacentral:rRNA from 1 species